rnacentral:ncRNA from 1 species
AGUUUCAGGGGGUGGUGAAAUUCCACACCGGUGGUUAAAGUCCACGAACAGAGAUAAUCUCUGCCGAUUUGGUGAAAUUCCAAAACCGACGGUUAAAGUCCGGAUGGAAGAAA